AGCAGCCGCGGUAAUUCCAGCUCCAAUAGCGUAUAUUAAAGUUGUUGCAGUUAAAAAAGCUCGUAGUUGAAUUUCGGGAUCAAUAUGUCGGUCGUGCCUCGGUACGUACUGGCGUAAUUGGUUUCUCCCUUCUGAAGAACUUCGAUGUCAUUAAUUUGGUGUCGUGUGGAAUCAGGACUGUUACUUUGAAAAAAUUAGAGUGUUUAAAGCAAGCUCGCGCUUGAAUACAUUAGCAUGGAAUAAUGAAAUAGGACGUUUGAUUCUAUUUUGUUGGUUUCUAGGAUCGACGUAAUGAUUAAUAGGGAUAGUUGGGGGCAUUAGUAUUCAAUUGUCAGAGGUGAAAUUCUUGGAUUUAUUGAAGACUAACUACUGCGAAAGCAUUUGCCAAGGAUGUUUUCAUUAAUCAAGAACGAAAGUUAGGGGAUCGAAGACGAUCAGAUACCGUCGUAGUCUUAACCAUAAACUAUGCCGACUAGGGAUCGGAUGAUGUUAAUUUUUAAUGACUCAUUCGGCGCCUUAA
rnacentral:rRNA from 1 species